UAUACUGUAUAUAAUGAAAUAUUUGUUAUUUGUGGUACACUUUUUUCCCAGCAAUGUCCUGUCCUCUGUUAGUCAUAAUUUAUUUGACCAGUUAAAAUCUCUUUCUUUCUUUCUUUCUUUCUUUCUUUUUCUUUUCUUUUUCUUUUGUGGAAAACUGAAUAGAUAGCAGGAAAAAUCAAAUGUGGAACAUUAUUUUCACUAUUUUUCCCAUCCGCAGAGCCUUAGUUACAUCAGGAAAAAAUGAUUUUAAACACAGAGAAAAUUACUGGAUAUUUAUAAAAGAUUAUGAAAACAAUCUAUAUUUUUCUUUAGAAUAAUUUGUCCUGGUGAAUUGUGCUAAAUAAAUGAUAUUUAUUAAGAAAGUAAAUCCAUUUUGAUCUCAAGUUAUUUUGGGUUUAACUAUUCAUUUAAAUGUAUAUUUAUUAAUUCUGCCUUGGUUAUUGUGUGUAUUUCUGAAUGUUCAUGACAGACUCCUGUCAUUAGGUGGUGUCACGAGCGCUUUUACCUGUCUGGAGGGGAAUCUACUGAGAAGAGAGAAGUACUGAAGGCAGACUUUUUGAAACCUGAACAAUUUGGUGUGAUUGAGUCAAGAGAAACUGAGUAUGAAAUCACCAGCUUUCAAGGAUCUGUUAAUCUGGACUGCUGCUGAUGGAUGGAGAGCAUCCUGUCGUCAUGGAAACAGUUUAAUUUGUCCAGCAUCUGGAUUGGAUUCGGAUUCUGUGGCCAAUCCCGAGCCGGACCGAGGGAGGACCUGCGCCCGCUCUGCGCGACCUGUGGCCUUCACCCAGAUCAAACACUGAUGCUCUUUGGCUGAUUUCCCACCGAUAAUGACAACUUUAUGCUUUUGCGUGAGAAUAGAGUGAUGUAAAUCCAAUCAUGUGCCUGCUAACGUCUAGGAAAUCUUCUUUAUACACAUUUAGCUCAGUUAGAGGAGAUUUCUGUCUUCUACAGUGCAGUAUAUUCUACACUCAUCUCUUCUAUAUUUAUAACGCUCUAUUUAGCGAUUCUGAUACUUAUUUCCAAAACCAGUGGUUCUCAACUGGUCACGAUCCAUAAAUGUAUUGUACAUAUGUUUUUUAAGUCAUGGACGGUGAGGAAAACAAUGCUUGAUGCAGGUAAUGAAAUGCACACAAUCCAGUAUAGACAGAUUGUAUGUGAUGCUCUCAACGAUGAAUAAAAAUAUACAGAAAAAAAAUAUGAUAUAUAAUAUAAUAUAUAUAAAAUCAAUGGGGUAUUUUUUAUUUUUUCCCCUAUUUACCCAUCAUAAUGCAUUAAAAUCUGUAUGAUUUUUACAUCUGUAUGCGAUUUCAAGAAUCAUUGCUUUAUAAAACAGUCAAAACUUCAUAUUUUUCAACUAAAACCAUACUGUAUCUGAUCAACAAUUUCUCAUUAAUGAGCAAAUGUGAAAUCAUUUCAAAGUUUUGAACAUUACCAUGUUAUUACCAUGCAUUUACCCCUUUUUGAUUAAUUAAAAAAUGAAAAAAAAAACUUUAGGAAGUCAUCUGAAUAUAUCAUUGUAUAAAAUUUAUAAGAACAUAUAAUCUGAGAAUUUCCAGUAUUAAACCCCACUGGAAUAAAUGUAAUUUAAAUUCCUUUGACUUUAUAGUUCGUGAUUGCUCAAAAACUUUAUGAAACUUACAUACCUAUUUCUAAUAAAACAACAUAAAUAUUACUCUGAAAAGUUUUCAAACCAAAUAAAUUCCUUUUACUUAAAUAAACGUUAAAUUUCAGAAGAAAAAGUGUUAACAUUUUUAUGCUGCAAUGGCUCAUUAAUCAAAAUAAUUUAACUAAUUUCAAUUAAAUUUCAUUUUGGAGGUUACAUGAGAUUAAGGCAACUGAUUUUGAGUCUUUAAGUUGAAGUGGAAAUGUUUUCGUGUACCACACUGAGUUUUGUGCAAAUUAUUGGCUGCUAGAAUCAUGAAACCAUCAGAAUUCUGUCUUUGUGAUAAAAAGUGUUGGUCUUGCUGGUUCACCAUUUGAUCUCCAGCAGCAAAACCAGUUAAGAACCACUGAACUCCAUCUCCGACGUCGUUUAUGAUUGGUUUCCAGUGAGGAUUCAGUCUGUGUGUGGAUGAUGUCGUCUCAAGGCUCCUCCUCCACUUCUCUGAUUGGCUGGAUGAUGUUGCUGGUGGAUUUGUACUGAUUGAUCUGAUUGGCUGCGUGUGUGUUGGUGUGUUUGCUUUGCGUGUUUCUUGGGAAGCAGUUCUCGGGUUCAUCUGUGUACCAGUUUUUAUCUGCAGAAUGAUUGACAUCAUUUACUGUACGCCUGAAGCUUGAUCUACACAAGUGAGUGAAAGCAGACGUUAGAUAUGCAAGCUCUGUCUCAUGCACUGAGUGUUGAAAAGUUUUAGUCCAUAUGUACGUGUUGCAUUCAGAGCAGGGUUAUUAUAAUUAACUAAAAUUAAAACCAUAAAAAUGUUUAUAUGUUUACAUUAACAAUUUUUUUUUAUUUCAGCACUGUAAAACGUUGUAUGAUCAAAUAAGUAAUUUUAACACGUCUUUCC
rnacentral:lncRNA from 1 species